rnacentral:misc_RNA from 1 species
GAUGAAGAACGUAGCGAAAUACGAUAAGUAAUGUGAAUUGCAGAAUUCAGUGAAUCAUCGAAUCUUUGAACGCACAUUGCGCCCUCUGGUAUUCCGGGGGGCAUGCCUGUUCGAGCGUCAUUAUAACCACUCAAGCUCUCGCUUGGUAUUGGGGUUCGCGGUUCCGCGGCCCCUAAAAUCAGUGGCGGUGCCUGUCGGCUCUACGCGUAGUAAUACUCCUCGCGAUUGAGUCCGGUAGGUCUACUUGCCAGCAACCCCCAAUUUUUACAGGUUGACCUCGGAUCAGGUAGGGAUACCCGCUGAACUUAAGCAUAUCAAUAAGCGGAGGA